CCUUAGUUGAAUUUCAUUGCAUAUCCUUAUAACGGUUUUCCAAAUCCCAAUUUUAAUACCCUUUAAAUUAAACAUUAACAUCUUUAAAUCUUCUCCUUCUUGUAUUAAACAUAUUAUUUUAUCAGUUAACAUAAAUACAAUCCUAAGCCCAUUAAGUAUCUGGACGCUAUUUCCGGUUAUUUUAUCUUAACAAAUUUAGCUAAAUAAUCAUUAAAUUUCUUCCAUUCUUCGUGUUCCUCCUCCUUCUGGUCACGGACGGCUAGCUCCAUAAAAUCCAUCAUCUUCAUCUGCCAUUCUUCUACUGUUGGUAAUUCUUGAGUUUUCCACUUUUUAGCUAACAAAAUACAAGCCGCAGUUGUGGCAUACAAAAAUAGAUUAACAUCUUUCUUGGUCAAUUCCAACCUGAAACUCUUCUUAACCUGAAGCACCACUUUAGCUAAUGGGGCCUCCCGCUGCUGCCACCCUGCUCCCUCGCAAUUUCUGUUCUCACCCUGAAGCAAAGUUCUUAACCCCAGGUACUAUUUCUGGGUUAGCGGAGUCUGUAACCUGAAGCGUCUGUAACCUGAGGUCCCACUGUACAGGGCAUGAAGCGUAAUAGAAAUGUGGAAACAGCUUCUCUUCCAAGAGGAGUCUAGCUUCCCAUGAAGAAAUUCAUGUGAUUGAGCAGGUGGUUGCUGAAGAACUCCAGGCAUGCCUGGAGGAUGGGGACCAUUUGGAUCCCUUCCAAUCGGGAAUCAGGCCUCAUAUUGGGACUGAAACUGUCUUGGUUGUGCUGGUCCAUGAUCUCCAGCGCACUAAGGACAAAGGUGAAAGCUGUUUCCUGCUUCUGCCGGAGCUCUCAGUGGCCUUUGAUACCAUCGACCACGACAUCCUUCUUGACCGUCUAGAGGAGCUAGGAGCUGAGGGUUAUACAGUGGUUCCACUCCUUCCUCCUGGGCCGUGUUCAGAAAGUGGUGGGGGGGAUCAUUGUUCAGACCCCUGGGCUCUCACUUGUGGGGUGCCUCAGGGUUCCAUCCUCUCCCCCAUUCUUUUUAACAUCUACAUGAAGCUGCUGGGAGAGAUCACCAGAGGGUUUGGGCUGGGUGUUCAUCAGUAUGCGGAUGAUAUCCUGCUCUAACUCUCUUUUAAAUCGGAAUCAGUGAAAGCGCUGAAGGUCCUGUGUGUGUGUCUGGAGGCGGUUGAAGGAUGGAUGGCAGGUGACUGAUUGAGGUUGAAUCCUGACAAGACAGAAGUGCUGUUCUGGGGUGACAGGGGGCGGGCUGGUGUUGAGGACUCGCUUGGACUACUGCAACGCAUUCUAUGUGGGGUUACAUUUGAAGGUGACCUGGAAACUACAACUAAUCCAGAAUGUGGUAGCUAGACUGGUGACUGGGAGUAGCUGCCGAGACCACAUAACACCGGUUCUGAAAGACCUACAUUGGCUCCCAGUACGUUUCUGGACACAAUUCAAAGUGUUGGUGCUCACCUUUAAAGCCCUUAACAGCCUUGGCCCAGUAUACUUGAAGGAGUGUCUCCACCCCCAUCCUUCUGUCUGGACACUGAGGUGUCCAGGGUCUUCUGCUGGCUCCCUCACUGCGGGAAGUGAAGUUACAGGGCCUUCUUGGUAGUGGCACCCACCCUGUGGAAUAUCCUCCUACCAGAUUUCAAAGAAAUAAACAUCUGACUUUGAGAAGACAUCUAAAGGGAGCCCUGUUUGGGAAGCUUUUAAUAUGUGUUGAAUUAUUGUAUUUUAAUAUUUUGCUGGAAGCCACCCAGCGUGGUUGGAGAAAACCAGCCAGAUGGACGGGGUAUAAAUAAAUCAUUGUUAUUGUUA
rnacentral:lncRNA from 1 species